UACGUAGGGGGCGAGCGUUGUCCGGAUUUAUUGGGCGUAAAGAGCGUGUAGGCGGCCAGAUAAGUCCGCUGUGAAAUCUCGAGGCUCAACUUCGAGCUGUCGGUGGAAACUAUCUGGCUAGAGUCCGGAAGAGGAGAAUGGAAUUCCUGGUGUAGCGGUGAAAUGCGCAGAUAUCAGGAAGAACACCCGUGGCGAAGGCGGUUCUCUGGGACGGUACUGACGCUGGAGACGCGAAAGCGUGGGGAGCGAACAGG
rnacentral:rRNA from 1 species